rnacentral:rRNA from 1 species
UACAGAGGGUGCGAGCGUUAAUCGGAAUUACUGGGCGUAAAGCGCGCGUAGGCGGCUUUUCAAGUCGAUUGUGAAAUCCCCGGGCUUAACCUGGGAACUGCAGUCGAGACUGUCUAGCUAGAGUAUGGGAGAGGGAAGUGGAAUUUCAGGUGUAGCGGUGAAAUGCGUAGAUAUCUGAAGGAACAUCAGUGGCGAAAGCGACUUCUUGGACCAAUACUGACGCUCAUGUGCGAAAGCGUGGGGAGCAAACAGG